AGAGUUUGAUCCUGGCUCAGAACGAACGCUGGCGGCAGGCCUAACACAUGCAAGUCGAACGCUCGUAGCAAUACGAGAGUGGCAGACGGGUGAGUAACACGUGGGAACCUUCCCUAUGGUUCGGAAUAGCUCAGGGAAACUUGGGGUAAUACCGGAUAAGCCCUUCGGGGGAAAGAUUUAUCGCCAUUGGAUGGGCCCGCGUCGGAUUAGCUAGUUGGUGGGGUAACGGCCUACCAAGGCGACGAUCCGUAGCUGGUCUGAGAGGAUGAUCAGCCACACUGGGACUGAGACACGGCCCAGACUCCUACGGGAGGCAGCAGUGGGGAAUAUUGGACAAUGGGCGCAAGCCUGAUCCAGCCAUGCCGCGUGAGUGACGAAGGUCUUCGGAUUGUAAAACUCUUUUGGCGGGGACGAUAAUGACGGUACCCGCAGAAUAAGCCCCGGCUAACUUCGUGCCAGCAGCCGCGGUAAUACGAAGGGGGCUAGCGUUGUUCGGAAUCACUGGGCGUAAAGCGCACGUAGGCGGAUGUGUCAGUCAGGGGUGAAAUCCCGGAGCUCAACUUCGGAACUGCCUCUGAUACAGCACGUCUUGAGUUCGAGAGAGGUGGGUGGAAUUCCUANUGUAGAGGUGAAAUUCGUAGAUAUUAGGAAGAACACCGGUGGCGAAGGCGGCCCACUG
rnacentral:rRNA from 1 species